rnacentral:rRNA from 1 species
GUGAGGAAUAUUGGUCAAUGGGCGCAAGCCUGAACCAGCCAUCCCGCGUGCAGGAAGACGGCCCUAUGGGUUGUAAACUGCUUUUCCGGGGGGAGAAUUUUUCCGUCGUGACGGGAAUUGACGGUACCCCGGGAAUAAGCAUCGGCUAACUCCGUGCCAGCAGCCGCGGUAAUACGGAGGAUGCGAGCGUUAUCCGGAUUUAUUGGGUUUAAAGGGUGCGUAGGCGGAAUGAUAAGUCAGUGGUGAAAACCUGCAGCUUAACUGUAGACUUGCCGUUGAUACUGUCAGUCUUGAGUGUGGUCAAGGUAGGCGGAAUGUGUAAUGUAGCGGUGAAAUGCUUAGAUAUUACACAGAACACCGAUUGCGAAGGCAGCUUACUGGGCCAUUACUGACGCUGAUGCACGAAAGCGUGGGGAUCGAACAGGAUUAGAAACCCGGGUAGUCC